ACUGACUGAGCGGCGGACGGGUGAGUAACGCGUGGGUGACCUGCCCCAUACCGGGGGAUAACAGCUGGAAACGGCUGCUAAUACCGCAUAAGCGCACAGAGCUGCAUGGCUCGGUGUGAAAAACUCCGGUGGUAUGGGAUGGGCCCGCGUCUGAUUAGGCAGUUGGCGGGGUAACGGCCCACCAAACCGACGAUCAGUAGCCGGCCUGAGAGGGCGACCGGCCACAUUGGGACUGAGACACGGCCCAAACUCCUACGGGAGGCAGCAGUGGGGAAUAUUGCACAAUGGGGGAAACCCUGAUGCAGCGACGCCGCGUGAGCGAAGAAGUAUUUCGGUAUGUAAAGCUCUAUCAGCAGGGAAGAUAAUGACGGUACCUGACUAAGAAGCCCCGGCUAACUACGUGCCAGCAGCCGCGGUAAUACGUAGGGGGCAAGCGUUAUCCGGAUUUACUGGGUGUAAAGGGAGCGUAGACGGCAAGGCAAGUCUGAUGUGAAAACCCAGGGCUUAACCCUGGGACUGCAUUGGAAACUGUCUGGCUCGAGUGCCGGAGAGGUAAGCGGAAUUCCUAGUGUAGCGGUGAAAUGCGUAGAUAUUAGGAAGAACACCAGUGGCGAAGGCGGCUUACUGGACGGUAACUGACGUUGAGGCUCGAAAGCGUGGGGAAGCAAACAGGAUUAGAUACCCUGGUUAGUCCCACGCCGUAAACGAUGAAUGCUAGGUGUUGGGG
rnacentral:rRNA from 1 species